AGCAGUCGCCGCGGUAAUACAGAGGAUGCGAGCGUUAUCUGGAAUGAUUGGGCGUAAAGCGUCUGUAGGUGGCUUUUCAAGUCCGCCGUCAAAUCCCAGGGCUCAACCCUGGACAGGCGGUGGAAACUACCAAGCUGAAGUACGGUAGGGGCAGAGGGAAUUUCCGGUGGAGCGGUGAAAUGCGUUGAGAUCGGAAAGAGCACAACGGCGAAAGCACUCUGCUGGGCCAACACUGACACUGAGAGACGAAAGCUAGGGGAGCAAAUGGGCUUAGAUACCCCAGUAGUCCCUGUCUCUUAUACA
rnacentral:rRNA from 1 species